AUCUAUUGUAGUUAUAAGCAUUAUGAUUGGGUUUUCAUGAGCAUGCACGAGAUGUCCCUCCGUUAAAUUUUGUUGUAAUUUUGGCAGGUUACCUGUCUGACA